rnacentral:lncRNA from 1 species
CCCAGGUACCUUUCUCUUUGGCUUCUUUCUUUUUCUGAUCAUUUUCCUUCACACGUUUCAGGAAGCUAUCUCGGCUCUUAGAGUGCUUAAUGUGCUCAAUACGCACAUUAAUUCUCUUGGCAAGAAUCUUGCCCUUAACUUGUUUGUUUACAACAAUGCCAACAGCAUGCUGGGUAACAUUGUAGACUCUUCCAGUUUUGCCAUGGUAACACUUGUGGGGCAUUCCUUUUUGAACAGUACCCAUUCCCUUGAUGUCUACAAUAUCACCUUUCUUAUAGAUUCGCAUAUAUGUGGCCAAAGGAACAACUCCAUGUUUUCUAAAAGGCCUAGAGAACAUAUAUCGGGUGCCUCUCCUCUUUCCCUUUGUGUUCGUCAUUUUGGCGAAUUACUGGAAGAUGGCGGUUCCGGCCGAAAGGGCAAGAUGCAUAUUGGAUAUCUAAAUAGAGAUAUCAAGAAAUGAAGAUAUGCAUUUCCAGUUCCAGAGAGAAAUUCACACUGGAAAUAUAAAUUUAGGAAUUUUAAAGUUAGUGGUCACAUUUAAAGCUGCAGAAUACAAAGAGAUCACCUGUGUGAGAGAACUGAGUCCUGAAACAUACCCGUGUUUAAAGAUCUGGGAGGUGCAGAGGAAUUAUCAAAGGAGGCUGAGAAGGAGCAGCCAGUGAGAUAAGCAAAAAGAAAAGCAAGAGAUAUGGAACUGAACUUCCCUUUGGCAAAAAAUUUAGAAAAUGAUAAUGAGGAACAUCGAUUUCAGCAUACCUUAAACCUUUUGAACAGACUUGUCGAUACUCUCUUGGAAAAGUAUUUUUAAAAAUAGAAUUGAAUAUUUUUAAACUUUCAUCCCAAUAGAAAGCUAAAGUUAAUGAGGAAACUUGGAUUCAUUUCACAAAACGUUGCUUGUAAGCUAUUUUGCUUGGCUACAUGUUCCCUGGACAAACCCAAAAGACUGGUAUAAAUUCCAAUACUGUCACUCACAGUAUCACAAACUUUUGGUGACUCAAUCGCUUUACCUUUAUGUUGUUCUUUCUAGGACCAGUUUCACAGAGGUUAUGCCAUUCUCAGAUUUCUUAGAAUUGGUCAAUCUUAGGUCAUUUGACUUGAGAAAUCCUCAAAGAUUUUACUGUUUUAAAGUAUUAAUACAUCCAUCACCACAAAGGAAUCAGUUAAUGUGCUGUUAUAUCUCAAAGAGGUUACAGUACCAUCUUCAUUUUUCUCAACAGCCUCCUCUAAAUUCUAUUCUUUCUCUUUGCCUUAAAAAUCUACACAAUGAAAGAGAGCACAAGGAAAGUCUCCCGGGAAAUACAGGGAGAAAAAAAUUAAUCAAAAUGUCCAACAACAGAUUAUCCAAUAAUUUAUGAUAUAUCAGGACAUAGAAUACUAUACAACCAAGAAAAAUACUAAUGUACUUAUAGAUCUAUUUAUAUUAAAAAAGUUAAUGAUAUAUAUUUUGUGUAUUCCAUAUUACAA